GCUAGCUGUAAACCACUUCUUAUGAUAACAUACCUCCCUUUUUCUUAUCAUAGAGAGAAGAAAAAAUGGAAAAAGGGGAAGCCGAUGCUAAAAGGGAAAUAGGGGCUUUAGACCUCUUAAACUGCUCCCUGCUGUCUAGGAGCAUUAUCAGUUUUGGGAUGUAGCUGACUUUCACCAUCCAGGCCCACUUGAUAGUUGUGUAAAAGGAACUGUUUGAUUUUUGGUUAGAAAAUAUUGAAUUUGUCUUUGAAGGAAUGUCGAAACAAGAUAAAUGAGGCAGGGAGGAAAUAGUAUCUCCAGGAAAAUGGGGAGAAGAGGCAUUAAGAAGGCAGUAUCCUAUUUCCAUAUAGGGUUUUGAAAAACCCAGGAAUUGGAGGCCUCAUGCUGUUCCCUGCAUUUCUGGAUGUCUGAUUGCAGCUGAUGGAAUGUAUUUCUUACUGCCCCAGAUUCGUUGACAUAGAAACAGCAUUCUUCCUGGUGAAACAGACAAAGACCACCUUCUUUAGCUGUCAGGACUUCUAGUCCCUGUCAGUUCUGAAGCACAACUGCUGCCAAAGAAUCGAACUUUUUCUGGAUGAUGAGCAUGGUUUCAUACAUUCACUGGAAACGGUUGCAAGCUUGGAUAAGAAUUUCUGGGAAGUCUUCGGCCCUGUUAUUCCAGUGCCAGCACCUGUAGCUACUCCUGCAGCAACCAGGAUUGGCACAACCUGCAGUGCCCUCUUAUGCUGGACAGGCCAUCACACCAACCUUGGAAUAUAGUUGGAUAGCAAAGUUAUGCAAAGAGUCCCUGAGUACUACAAGAGCUGGUCUACACAGAGAGUAUGCUCCUCUGACUUUGCAUGGGGCAUGCUUGUCUGACAGUCCAUGGAGC
ensembl:lncRNA